GAUGAAGAACGUAGCGAAAUGCGAUAAGUAAUGUGAAUUGCAGAAUUCAGUGAAUCAUCGAAUCUUUGAACGCACCUUGCGCUCCUUGGCAUUCCGAGGAGCAUGCCUGUUUGAGUGUCAUUAAAUUCUCAAGACCUGUCUGCUUUUUUGAUAGGUAUUGGCUUUUGGGGGUUGCAGGCUGUUUCAAAUAAAUAGCCUUGCUCUCCUUGAAUGUAUUAGUGGAGAAAAGCCAUUGAACUCCAUUGGUGUGAUAAAACCUAUCAAUGCCAGGAGCAAUAUCACUACUUCUCUCUGCUGUCUAACUGUGACUGUCUGUAUUAAUUAGUAUGGAUGGGGACAACUUGACCAACUUGACCUCAAAUCAGGUAGGACUACCCGCUGAACUUAAGCAUAUCAAUAAGCGGAGGA
rnacentral:misc_RNA from 1 species